rnacentral:rRNA from 1 species
GACGAACGCUGGCGGCGUGCUUAACACAUGCAAGUCGAACGGUGAAGCGCCUUCCUUUUUGGUGGGUGUGGAUGAGUGGCGAACGGGUGAGUAACACGUGAGUAACCUGCCCCCUUCUUCUGGAUAACCGCAUGAAAGUGUGGCUAAUACGGGAUAUUCUGGGUCUGUCGCAUGAUGGGUCUGGGAAAGAUAUUGUUUCGGAGGGGGAUGGGCUCGCGGCCUAUCAGCUUGUUGGUGGGGUGAUGGCCUACCAAGGCGGUGACGGGUAGCCGGCCUGAGAGGGUGGACGGUCACACUGGGGCUGAGACGCGGCGCAGACUCCUGCGGGAGGCAGCAGUGAGGAAUAUUGCACAGUGGGCGCCAGCCUGAUGCAGCGCCGCCGCGUGAGGGAUGGAGGCCUUCGGGUUGUGAACCUCUUUCGCCAGUGAAGCAGGCCUGCCUCGUUUGUGGGUGGGUUGACGGUAGCUAGAUAAGAAGCGCCGGCUAACUACGUG